CCUACGGGUGGCAGCAGUGAGGAAUAUUGGUCAAUGGGCGCGAGCCUGAACCAGCCAAGUCGCGUGAGGGAAGACGGUCCUAUGGAUUGUAAACCUCUUUUGUCGGGGAGCAAAAGACGCCACGCGUGGCGUUCCGAGAGUACCCGAAGAAAAAGCAUCGGCUAACUCCGUGCCAGCAGCCGCGGCAAUACGGAGGAUGCGAGCGUUAUCCGGAUUUAUUGGGUUUAAAGGGUGCGCAGGCGGAAGAUCAAGUCAGCGGUAAAAUUGAGAGGCUCAACCUCUUCGAGCCGUUGAAACUGGUUGUCUUGAGUGAGCGAGAGGUAUGCGGAAUGCGUGGUGUAGCGGUGAAAUGCAUAGAUAUCACGAAGAACUCCGAUUGCGAAGGCAGCAUACCGGCGCUCAACUGACGCUGAUGCACGAAAGUGUGGGUAUCGAACAGGAUUAGAUACCCGAGUAGUC
rnacentral:rRNA from 1 species